rnacentral:lncRNA from 1 species
AAAGACUGAGGCCAGGCACAGUGGCUCACGCCUGUCAUCCCAGCCUUUUGGGAGGCCAAGACAGGAUCACUUGAGGUCAGGAGUUCAAGACCAGCCUGGCCAGCAUGGUGAAACCCUAUCUCUACUAAAAAUACAAAAAUUAGCCAGGCGUGGUGGCGUAUGCCUGUAAUCUCAGCUACUCGGGAAACAGGCAGGAGAGUCACUUGAACCCGGAAGGCAGACGUUGCAGUGACCUGAGAUCGUGCCACUGCACUCCAGCCUGGGCAACAGAGCAAGACACCAUCUCGCAAAAAAAAAAAAAAAAAAAAAAAAAAAGUGAGCAUCUGAUACACAUGCAAGAAUUUCACAACAUUGCAUUCACUCCUCCAGAAACAAAGAUAUAUUUUAAAAUGCUUUCUUAGCAUAUGUGCUCUGGUUUUCUAGCAGAUACUCUGUCAAACUUUUGAUAAGUGAAAAAUUUACCGAAGAAUUUAAAACCAAAAACAGUUUUUUAACUUUCCCACCUGAAAAUAUUGACCAUUUUCUAAUUUAUUUUCAUUAUAAAGAAUAUUGGUUAUCAUGGUUGCUCAUGCCUGUAAUUCUAGCACUUUGGUAGGCCAAGGCAGGCAAAUCACUCCUGAGCCCAGGAGUUCGAGACCAGCCUGGACAACAUAAUGAGACCUCCCUACAAAAUAUUUAAAAGUUAGCCAAGUGUGACAGUAUGUGCCUAUAGUCCCAGGCUGAGGUGGAUCACCUCAUUAGUGAGCCGUGAUUGUGUCACUGCACUCCAGCCUGAGUGACACAGACCCUGCCUCAAAAAAUAUAUAUAUAAAUACUAAAACAUCUGGAAGGAAAGAGGAGAAAAGGGAGUAUCAGCUUUUAAUACUUGUUACAAGGUCAGUCUAGAAAAUACAGUGAGAUUUGCUGGGUAAAUAGGUUUUGAACCAUGAAAAAAUUGAUGGCAUGCAAGAUCUUCCUCAAUAGACCUAAGAGUCUCAUUUCUAUUAAAAAAUACAAACAACUGCUUCAUUUUAUUCAUAAAUAAUUUUUUGAGGUGCUACAAAAAAUUAAAACUAAGCAGGAGUUUAAAGUUUUUGAAAAGCCAAGUAACAUUUUAUCUCUAACAUUUAUUGAAUCCUCUCCAGUAUUUACACAACGUAAAUGAGAUACUACACACAAAACCCUUGUGUCUGAAGGUAAAUUUAUUUAUUCUCAAAGACAACAAGAAGAGAAAGCACAUCAUGUAUUUUAAACUUUAGAAGCAACUGAGUCAUUAGUGUCUGGUGGACAGGAGCUAGGGAUCCUAUCCCUUCCCAACAAGGCCAAGAGUUCACCUGAGGUAAUGCAUUUGCCUUGGGGGCGAGGCCUUGAAUUGCAGCAAAUAACCUGUGUGUAUUUGCAUAUUUAACCAGUACUCUUAAGAAGGAUUAUACAAAAACCUGUUCCAGACAGCUGCUUACUCAUUGCCUUUAAAAUUGCGUGGUGCUGGGAUUGGCAGGUGCCAACUGUUUGCUCAUUCUCUUUGACCCACUAGCCUUGCAGUUUGCUGUGUGGGUGUUGAUACUCCUAAAUUAAAGCAGGGAAGGGGUGGUUUUAGAUGGCUUUUAACACCUGCUCUCCACCCAAGCACCCUGGAUUCAUUUGAUAUCUGGAUUCUAAUUCUGUAGUCAGGAGACUGGCCCAAACUGUGGCCCAGAGAGAAGUGAGUCAGUUGCAAGUGGCUAGCUGACUCUAUGGGAACAGAAAUAAAAUGCAGCUUAGAGAGUUUGUCAGCCAAAUCCACAAAUGUGUGGCUUUUUGAAACAUUGGACAUCUGUUCCUCUUAAUUUAAAAUAAACUUUUUUUUUUUUUUUUUUUAAGCACAAAGUUGCUUGGCUCCUUGUUUCUUUGUGUCAGCAGCAGUUGCUGCUCUAAUUUAGGAACCCUAGGAUCUGAUUUAGGACAUUUGGAAUCUUUAAGGCACAUUCGAUCUAGAAAGUGGAACUGAAUUGCUUUGGGAAGGCAAGAGGAUGAUUUUACAGUAUAGGGUUUGUGUGGAAAUCCCCUUCAGCAGUAAUCAACCCAGGUGUCCAACCUGUUUGUUAACCAUUUCCAAAUGACUCAGAGGACCUAGAGGGAGGGCUUGAACACACUCCAGCACUGUUUCUACAAUUUAGCCUUUAUUUGCAUUGGAAACCACAUUCCUGAAUUCUUGAGGGGGCAGGCUCUGGCUUAUUCUGGGCAACUGACUUCAAGUGGGACCCCUGAGCUACCUAUGUAAGCAAAGAGUCAGCCAUCUCUGGAGAGUUACCAGGGAGGAGGAUCUUUCUGUGAACUUGCUUUGAUGACCUCCACCCAAAGCCCUUUGAGGAACAGUUUUGUUUAUUCAAGGAGCCCUUGGCAGGUCACUCCUCCCCUACCACAAAUCUAAUCCAAAUGCGACAUUUUCCUUUGAGGCCAUCUAUCCCUUUUGGGGGACAAAACACAUCAGCUUUUCCCUUCAGACCACUUUUGACUGAAGCAGUGAUCAACAUUGCUUAAUUGUGUUCCAGUCUGUUUCCAGCGGGGAAAAAAUGCUUUAGGGGAGUGAGGCAGUUAGGGAUUUGAAAACAGGGAUGGUGCCGCCUGAAGGUGGGGAAUGACUUAGAUCACUGUCUUCCUUUGGCUCCUCACCAUGUUGUGUGGAGGAAACGAAAAGCAGCUCAAGUUCACUCCUCUUGGCAGUAGUGCAGAAGCCUGGCUUGCCACGGCCCUGGAGAACCAUGUUUUUCCCAACUUUUUUUUUUUUCUUUUGAGACGGAGUUUCACUCUUGUUGCCGAGGCUGGAGUGCAGUGGCGCAAUCUCGGCUCACUGCAGCCUCCGCCUUCCAGGUUCAAAGCGAUUCUCCUGCCUCAGCCUCUCAAGUAGCUGGGAUUACAGGUGCAUGCCACCACACUCGGCUAAUUUUUUGUAUUUUUUUCAGUAGAUACGGGGUUUCAUCAUGUUGGCCAGGCUGGUCUCGAACUCCUAACCUCAGGUGAUCCACCCGCCUCGGCCUCCCAAAGUGCUGGGAUUACAAGCAUGAACCACCAUGCCCAGCCUUUUUUUUUUUUUUUUUUUUUUUUAAUACAGAACACAAAUUUGAGUGUCAUUCUUGUGCAGGGGCCAUGCUAAUCUUCUGUAUAUUGUUCCAAUUUUGGUGUAUGUGCUGCCAAAGCAAGCACCCAGCUUCUUUUCAUUAGUUAAGAAGAUGAAGGCCAAGACUAAGGCAGGGAGGCCUUUCUCUGCCUUUCACUCUUUAGUGCACCUCACAGUCAGUUGCACUUGAGUAAGGACUGCUAAACCUCUCUGAGAGCUGCCAGAUGUUCCUGCCUAGCCUCAGGUUGUUGGUUCUUCAGACACCUCUUCAUUCUGCCCAUUGCACCAGCCCUUUCCCAUCUCCAUGUUCCCUCCAUGGUAAUUUCUUUGUACACAACAACCACACGGAGCACCAGCAAUCAAGAUUAGCUCCCGGGAACUCUGGCGUGCCCUGUACCAGGAAGCACAGUGGAUUACUACAACUUUUGAUAAUGAUUGUUUGCUUUGUACCAGGCAUUAUUUUCAGGGCUGUUUCACAUGUGUUGUACUUAACAACCCCAUGAGGAAAUUAAGGCAGGGUGGUUCAGUAAUUUGUCAAGGGAAACAAGGAAGUAGAGCAGGCAGCAGAGGCGUUCUGGCUCUGAACUACUCUGUUCUGUAGAAAUCAGUGCAAAAGUCCAAGCUUCAGCAUACUUGUUU